GGGUGCGAUCAUACCAACAUUAAAGCACCGAAUCCCAUCAAAGCUUCACAGUUAAGCGCACUUGGGCUAGAGUAGUACUGGGAUGGGUGACCUCUCGAUAAGUCCUAGUGUUGCAUCCU
rnacentral:rRNA from 1 species